AUUGAACGCUGGCGGCAUGCUUUACACAUGCAAGUCGAACGGUAACAGGCCACAAGGUGCUGACGAGUGGCGAACGGGUGAGUAAUGCAUCGGAACGUGCCCAGUCGUGGGGGAUAACUACUCGAAAGAGUAGCUAAUACCGCAUACGAUCUAUGGAUGAAAGCGGGGGACCGUAAGGCCUCGCGCGAUUGGAGCGGCCGAUGUCAGAUUAGGUAGUUGGUGGGGUAAAGGCUCACCAAGCCAACGAUCUGUAGCUGGUCUGAGAGGACAACCAGCCACACUGGGACUAGGACAAGCCCCAGACCCCUACGGGGGGCAGCAGGGGGGAAUUUGGAGCAGUGGGGAAAAGCCUGCACCGGCAACGCCGCGUGCGGAAAGAAGCCCUUCGGGUUGUAAACUGCUUUUGUACGGAACAAAACGGCUCUGGUUAAUACCCGGGGCUAAUGACGUAACCGAAAAAAAAAGCACCGCCUAACUACGU
rnacentral:rRNA from 1 species